rnacentral:rRNA from 1 species
AUGCAGUGUAUAAAUGCAUACACAAAAAAGAAAAGUAGAGGAGGAAAGGGGUCGGAUCUGCAUACCGGAGCUGCUGGCGUUGUAGAUCGAGGCACCGCGCUGCGGAUCCACCGUCGAACUCGCCGGAGACCAGCACCACCGCGGAUUCGACCGGAGGGUGACGGGAUCCAGCACCCGCGUCUGGGCGAUGAAGCUCCAUGCGUGCGUCGACAGCAGUCGCACACGUCUCGUCGGAGCAUGGUGCGGUGGUCGCGGCUAGAUGGCGCGGUGGUUGCGGGCUCGGCGACGCGCGCCGCGAUGCGGCGGGGGGAGGUCAGAGGGCGAGAGGUGAAGCCGGAGACUGGUGCGGUGGUUGCGGGCUCGGCGACGCGCGCUGCGAUGCGGCGGGGGGAGGUGGGAGGGCGAGAGGUGGCGCCGGAGACUGGUGCGGCGGCGGGGGAGGCGGGCCGACGCGCGUGGGAGGCGGGCCGACGCGCGGGGGAGGCGGGCCGACGCGCGGGGGAGGCGGGCCGACGCCUAGCCCGUGAUGCAUUUGGUCUGGGCCUGGACGUGCUGUUUAUGGCCCGUCAUAGAUAUAAAUUGAUGGGUUCCGACAUACUCACUGAUGAAACGAUGAUAGACCACAGUGAAACACCACGAGAAGAGAAUACAGGAGACAUGGAUAUGGAUUUUGUAGAUGCACGGAAAGAAUCCAUUGAGGGUUCAGAUGCGAUGUCGCUGAAAGGGGAUGAAGAUUCACAACAUAAAAAUGUCAAAGAGGUUAUAUCUCAUAACAAACCAAAAAAGGAUGCUAAUUUACAUAUUAUCCCACAAGACUAUGUUUGUACCGCUAGGGAUAUUACAGUCAUCGAAUCAAUCAAGUCUGCCCCGAAGAAUACCCAGUUCAUAGACAUUGGAGAUGCCUUGUUAUCAACCGACGAUUUGGAAUGCCUUAUUAAAGAUGAUAUGUUCUUACAUGACGGUGUGAUAAAUGCUUACAUAUAUUGCAUGCUUGCUCACGACCAUCUACAAGACAGGGCGGGUGAAAAGUUAUUCAUUCCGAUUAACAUGCCGGGCUACCAUUGGUAUCUAGCAGUUGCCAACGCCAACAAACGAGAGAUCCAAGUAUUGGACUCACUUGGUGAGAAUGUCAAACGCAAUGACCUUGCUACUACGUUGCUAGGGCUCGAGAAAUGGCUGAAACUUGUAGAGCAUAGUCCGGAGUUUAUCAAAGGUCAUAAGUGGCCUGAUCUCAAUGUUACAAAAUGGACGGUUGUAGAGCAAAUUCAGGAGGCAAUACAAACCGAUGGCGUAUCAUGUGGAUUGUUUAUGCUAAAUUAUAUGGAAUACUGGACACCACAUGGACUGUCAGACCAGUUUACGCAGGAGGAUAUGAAACAUUUUCGACAAAAAUUAGCAAUUAUUUUGCUCGAUUCAGAGCUUAAUAAGUUAAAAGGAUGUCCCAUGUACCAUCAACCUCUCAACGAAGAAACUUUAGCUAAUUUUGAUCUUGAGAUCCUGGAUAAUCCAUCUGACGUGGUCGAAGAGAAACGUCCCGCCCCAAUCACUAUCAUUCCCGCGGACCAACGUGAAAUACUUGCCGGCCUCUGCAACUACAUCAUGUCGAUCAAUGAUGCUGGAUGUUUGGAGAAGGUAUGGGACCGGAGCUCCACACCCGAUCCAAUGAGCUUAAAUCUUAAGAAACUUCAGUGCAUACUUAACAUGGAGCAGCCCAUUGACAAUGAUUGCUUCAACACCGCCGUGCUUAUGCUGGCAUGUGAUGAGGGAGUAUUGUUCACAGACCCUCCUAUACACUACAUGGAUCUACGAUUUUGUUCCAUGCUGCUAGAGUCAACACGAGGUCAGAAAUUUUGUGAGAAGGAAACUAUCCAGACGUUGGCAACAUUAUUUGAUAGCUGGCCUGGGAUGGAGACCGACAUCUCAUCUUGCAAUAAGAUUUAUCUUCCCUAUGCAUCCUUCGGCCGAUACAUCCUCUACAUCAUCGACAAAGAGGCACGUCGUCUAUAUAUUAUGGAUCCUAUUCAAUCAUCACAAUCGUCAGAGGAUAAAAACUUGAGGCAUUCACUGAAAUUAAAAAGUUUUUCAAGGGAUUUCAAAGAAGCACUCGAAAUAAAGCUGCCUGGGUGGAAUUUUGAUAUAUCUAAAUGGCAUCGUUUAUUUCUGGCCGGUGUUCCAACGAGUAUAGACGGGAAUGUGUCUGGCUAUUUUGUUUUUCAUUUUAUGCUCUGGUGGAACGGUAAAGAAUUGGUCAAGUCGAUUUGCGCGGAUGGGUUAGGGAAGACUCAUGCAAAUCUCCGAGGUGCACGGGUGAGGCGCCAUGGGCUAAUCCCUUGGCUAGUCCUAAGUGGGAGGCAACCGCAUGGGCCUAUUGGUUCCAAUAAUGGGGCGCCCCCUCUUUUGCCUCGAGGGGGAACCCACUUGGGGUGGCUAGGUUUUUUGGGUACACAACCCUUGGUGGGGCCAGCCCUAGGGAGGAAGGAGCCCAUACUCCAAGGCAGCAUCCCUCCAUGUUCAUAUAAAUAUGUGAGGAGUGGCAACCCUCCGAACACAUUAUUGUGCUUGAAGGUAAGAACACCACAGGCAUUUAAGAAAACAAAUCCCUUGUUGCCAACGGAAACAAGAAUGGUGAUCUCCUCGAGCAGAAAGUCCAAUUUGAGGAAGCUCAAGAGUGAGGAAUAUAUUGUUGACUAA